rnacentral:rRNA from 1 species
AGUGAACGCUGGCGGUAGGCCUAACACAUGCAAGUCGAACGGCAGCACAGUAAGAGCUUGCUCUUACGGGUGGCGAGUGGCGGACGGUUGAUGAAUACAUCGGAAUCUACUUUUUCUUGGGGGAUAACGUAGGGAAACUUACGCUAAUACCGCAUACGACCUACGGGUGAAAGCAUGGGAUCUUCGGACCUUGCGCGAUUGAAUGUGCCCUUGUCGGAUUGGCUAGUUGGCGGGGUAAAGGCCCACCAAGGCGACGCUCCGUAGCUGGUCUGAGAGGAUGGACAGCCACACUGGAAAUGAGGAACGGUCCAGACCCCUACGGGAGGCAGCAGUGGGGAAUAUUGGACAAUGGGCGCAAGCCUGAUCCAGCCAUACCGCGUGGGUGAAGAAGGCCUUCGGGUUGUAAAACCCUUUUGUUGGGAAAGAAAAGCAGCAGGUUAAUACCCCGCUGUUCUGACGGUACCCAAAGAAUAAGCACCGGCUAACUUCGUG